rnacentral:rRNA from 1 species
UACGUAGGGGGGCAAGCGUUGUCCGGAAUUAUUGGGCGUAAAGCGCGCGCAGGCGGCUAUGUAAGUCUGGUGUUUAAACCCAAGGCUCAACCUUGGGUCGCAUUGGAAACUGUAUGGCUUGAGUACAGAAGAGGAGAGUGGAAUUCCACGUGUAGCGGUGAAAUGCGUAGAUAUGUGGAGGAACACCAGUGGCGAAGGCGACGAUCUCUGGGCUGGAGUAACUGACGCUGAGGCGCGAAAGCGUGGGGAGCAAACAGG